rnacentral:rRNA from 1 species
AUGUCCAUGGGAAGACUUGCACAAGUGUCUAUCACCCUUAUUAUCGUCCUUCUUUACACCGGCCUCCUAGCCGAAGGAGCAAUGGGAACCAAUAAUAACGAGCAAGUCCAUCUACAAUCCUUGAAGCUGAUGGGCUUAACGCAGGAAAGCGACCUCAAGUUAUGCAGGACAUGCCAUUGUUCCUGCAAGGGCGAUAAAUGUGAUGCAACGAAAUGCUGCUAUCUAGCAAAGUGCACCACGCAACGACCUCUCACUUGUGUGCUAGACUCGAUUCAGUGUGGCAGUUGUGAUAAUUGCAAGUGA